ACGCUCGACACCUACGGGAGCAGCAGUGGGGAAUAUUGGGCAAUGGGCGCAAGCCUGACCCAGCAACGCCGCGUGAAGGAAGAAGGCUUUCGGGUUGUAAACUUCUUUUGUCAGGGAACAGUAGAAGAGGGUACCUGACGAAUAAGCCACGGCUAACUACGUGCCAGCAGCCGCGGUAAUCUGAGGCGGGCUGGACAAGGC
rnacentral:rRNA from 1 species